CUCGCCCUUGGCAAGUGGGCUUCUCAUUGACAGCUGGGGAUUUUUUCACUGCUGAUUUUCUACCUUCCACCGGGUGGGAAGAGAGUGAGAAGGUCCUGUCAGGCGUUUGUCAGGAGAGCUGUGGUUCCUGAAAACCCUCUCAGGCAUCUGUGAAACGCCUCCUGUGUGUGCCUUGCUGUGAGGGACCAGAGGUGAGUCGGGCAGUGGCCCCAGUUCGAGAGGCUAACGUUCAGUAUGAAGACUUCCAAACAUACGGAAAAGUUUAAAUAGCAGAUUCAACGACCUCUGUGCCACAUACUGGUGUCCUGAGCGUCUGGUGCUGUAGACCUCCUGUCCUGCUGCCUGGAUGGCUCCUUCCCUCCUUCCUCCUGAGAACGCCCACGUGCCCUUCACAGCCCAGCCCCUCCGCAAGCCCUCUGGCUGCUUUUGCCCCUCUCCGAGUUCCCUCAGGCCCACGCCUGCACUUUCCAGGACCAAGCUCUGCAGGGAAGGACCUCCACAAACUUCCAUUAAAUAAGGGAAGCCAGCCAGGAUCUUGCCAUGAAACCAUUUGGAAUUGGUAAUAAAAAAUAGCUGUUAAGCCAGUACUUUCCCAGCUUUUCACAUCCGUGGUCUUGAGCACAACAGUCUCCUGCAUCCCAGUGAUGGGGCAGGUCUCUGUCACCCUGUUGGAGGUGAGGCUGCUAAAGGGGAGGCAGGCCAGGGGUCCAGGGUCAUCCAGCUGAGUCUCCUGCAGGCUGCUCCUGGUGCCCUGUAACUCUCAUGCAGCCCGGGGUCAUGCGGGGUGGCCAGGAGCAGACACAGAAGGCCUGGCCUCUGGUCGGCGUCCUCAGCUGACACUUUUCAGAGGUUUUUAGUUGGUUUUCCUGAUGCCACUGUAAUGGGAUGGCAGGGGACCCAUCUGUCAUCCCUCUCGGCUGGGAACUCCUGAAAGCCGAAGCUGGCUGAUUCUCAGAUGUGUCGCUGCGUGUGGUUUCUGAGUGGACGAGUGAGGUGGGGAUGCCUUGUACAAUCUGGGCCACGGCCUUUUCAGGAGAAGGUCAGAGCUGCUGUGAGACUGUAAGGUUUCUGCAUGUUCCUGUGACUGGAACCUUCCCUUUAAAGAGGAGCUGCAUCUGGAAAAGGAGCUGGGUGGGACCCAGGAGCCACGGGGCUGUGGUGGAAGCUGGAGCCAAGAACCGGUGGCUUCUGGCAGAAGAGAUGUGGCCCUGUACUUACCCAGAGACACCGCUGCUCUCCGCGUGGUCCUCGGCACUCUGUCUUGAGGACACCUUGGGAAGGACAAGAGACAUGGAAAGGUGGUCAGUGGCGCAGCCUACCUCAUGUGCCGGCUUUCUGCUGCAGAGAGGGUGAGCACGUCCAGGCAGAGCUGGCUCCCCAGGGCCGCCUCGCUCGAUCUGCUAUUUUACAAGGGGGAGAGCUGAGGCUGGGAUAGGGCAAUGACUCUACAAAGCUCCCACGGAGACUCCCUGCUUCUCUAACACCUACCGGCCAACACCCCCAUUUCUCCCCUCCAGGAGUCAAGGCCCAACUUCUCUCUAACACCUUCCCCUGCUGUUCUGCAGACCUUUCUCUGUCCUAAGUUGAGUGCACAGACAUUGCACACAUCUGUUUGCAGACUUUCCCAGUAGUCCGUCUGUCCAUCCCUGUACCAACCUGGCUCAGUGACCACAGCUUUAGAAUGAACCCUAACAUCUGCUAGAGCAAGUCCUCCCACCUAUUUUUUGUUUUAAGAGUCUUGACUAAUCCUGGUUCUUUACAUUUCCUUAUGCAUGUAUUGGAAUUGGCUUGUCACAUUCAGGUGGGGUGGGGGGGAAACUUGAGGAUUGUGUUGUGGUUAUAAAAAGUAUGGGUCACUUGGGGGGAACUGAUAUCUUUGCAAUAAUAAGUCUUCUGCUUUAUACAGGGACUAUCUCUCUAUUCAUUUAGGGCUUCUUUAAUGUCUUUUAAGAAAUUUUAUCUUCCCUGUAAAGAAAGGGAUUUCUCUUUUUGGUUCCUAGAUACCUGUUUGUGAUGUUAUUAUCAAUCUUUUUUAGGUAAAGUCUUUCUACCUGCUUGUUGCUGUGGAAAUAUAUAUAUUUGUGUGUGUGUAUGUAUAUUCAACAGUCUUACUAACCUCUCCUAUUAGUCCUAAUAAUUAUAAUCUUUUUAAUGUUUCUUUGCUCCCAUUCACAUUACCUGGGAAUAAUGAUCAUUUUAUUUUUCCCUCCCCAGUCCUUAUACAUUUUUUCCCUGGCUUUUCUGUACUUCCAACACUACACUGGAAAGAAGUGAUAGCAACAGUCAUCCUUGUCUUGUUCCUUUAUUGAAAGGGACAUUUUUCAUUCUUUCACAACUUACUGUUUGCUGUGUUUUUUCCCUCAAGCCGCCCGUUACUAGGUCCUGUCUCUCUGCGCUGUGUUCUGAGUCGCCCCUUCAGCACUGUCUUCCGGCACACUAAUCUCUUCACCACUGUUUAAUUUCCUUUUAACCUAUAGUAUCAGAAUCUUUCAUUUUGUGUCCUGUACUUUCCAUUUCUGCAAGUUCUAUUUGGCACUUUUUUUCAACUAUGCUAGUCACUGUCUGUAGGUCCUUGUCCCGAUAUUUGCUUUAAACAUAAUCAACACAGUUGACUAUAACCUGUGUCUGGGAAUCCAGGUAACCAGUCUGCACUGAUCUAUUUGUGUUGUCUAUUGUUUCUGCUGGUUUUCGCUUGUUUCCUUGAGCACUUGGUUAUCUGUUAUUGCUUGCUGCUCGUCAUCCUGGGAACUUCUUUGUGGGCGUUCUCUGAGGCCUAACACGAGGAUGGCUUCCUCCAGAAAGGACAUGCGUUUGCAGCUGUCAGACACCUAGCAGGCAUUGCUGGUCUGGAACCACUUGAGGUUAAGUUUAUGCACUCAGGUAUUCUGGAACACCAAGGUGAUGGGAAUUUGGGCUGCAAAUCUAAAAGGCAGCUGAACUGUGUUUAUAAUUCCUUAGAGCUUUCUUACCCUCCUGCACUGCUCAAGACCAGGACGCCUUUCCUUGCCAUCCCCUGAGGGUCCUAGACUUAUGAGGGAAUAUAGAUUUCCUAGUGGACUUGCUAGCUCAGUGGGCCCUGGCUUGUAUUCCCGUCACUGCUGGAUACCACUGGACCCAAAGCUCAAAUUCACCUGAGGCAAAAGCAGCCUCAACGUCCCAUUUAUCUCUCUGGAUUCUGCUUUUUCUUAGUCUUGGCCUGGUAAUUUCUCACUGUAUUGUCAGCUAUUUAAUCCUUCACUGACACUUUUAAACCAUGGUAAACGAUAGUAAACCAAACACACCGACUGGCUUCUCUCUUUCACCACAAGUCCUCAGAAUUGAUAGAAAAAGUCAUAAGCAAAAAGAGAACACAGCUCUUACAGUCUAUGAAGACACGUGUAUCUCUGGUGAGCCGGAAGGUAGGAGGGAUUGAUGGAAUCUGGGCUGGGAUGGACCAAGGGGGGGAACCACCGCCCACACAGUGCACACAGGAGAGGAUGCUGGACAAAGCAGAAGCAGCUGUGGGGGCCUCAAGUUCAGAGGUGACAGACGCCAGAGCAGGACAGGGUCUUGGCACAAGGGUCAGAAAGGAGGAGACUCUGAUCCCCUGCCACCCACCAACUGCACAAAUGUCCAGGCACAGAGUUGUGUCCCCCAGGCUUGGGCAGGCAGUGGAGGGCAGCAUGGGUGGCUGAUGACACCAGGAAGCACAGGAAACCCUGUUCUCAGGCCACUAAUGAUGGCCACACACCUAGAGCACAUCCCCACGUCCUCUAUGACAACUGGAGGCAGGAACCAAAUUCAUCAUUUGAAAGAAUCAAACCUGAGAGAAGAGGGUUGUCAGAGCAGACUGAAGGUGACCCUGAAACGAAAAUGAUUCAUAGGCUCAAUCAAACAAGAAUAAACAGUUAUGAAAAAUAACCAGCUAGAGAUUUUGAAAUGAAACAUUUGACAGUAGAAAGUAAAAUCUCAAUAGGUGGUUUAGAUCAUACAACAGACAGCUGAAGACAUAAUUAAUUACCCAGAAGAUCAAAGUGAGACUUUCUGAAAGCAACACAAAAGGACAAAUGGGAAAGAAAAAGAGUACUAAUCCUAGAUAAACUGUCCACCAACUAGGGCAAACCAAGAUGUUACAGACACACACAGACUGCACCCGAAUGUCCGGUAUUGUUUCUUGGGUGCCCACAAGCUGCUCGGCAGUGAGGACAGGGAACACACGGGCUCAGGGGUCAUCAGAGUAGCUCCUCCCAUACCCACCUCUCCAUGCAGCUUUCACACCGACUCCUGGGGAGCCCCCCAGUUUCCUCCUCUUCCAGCCUGGCCAGGGGCCCCUCCAGUGCUUUACCCUGACCCCUCCUCUCCCUGUGCCCAUCGUACUGUUUGGUAAAUGAAGAAUUCCUUGGAGUUAGGAUGGAUGCCCCACUUAUCUCUGUACCCCUGCCCUGAGCAAAGGGCCUGGUCAGAGCAGACAUCAGCUGCCAGCUGCUGCCUUCUGAAAGGGCAGCUGGACCUGGGGAAGCUGGCAGUGCCUCAUACAGGAACUUCAUUUAUUCUGCAGACA